AGCAGCGUGGCUCAGUGGAAAGAGCCCGGGCUUGGGAGUCGGGGGUCAUGGGUUCGAAUCCCGGCUCUGCCA
rnacentral:tRNA from 1 species